ensembl:miRNA B0462.6 ncRNA
UUUUUUCAAGAAAGUGGUCAACAGAAAAGUUGUAGAUAAAGUGAUUAUCUACAUCUUUUUAGUUGAUCACUUUUUUGUGAGAU